UGGGGAAUUUUGCACAAUGGAGGAAACUCUGAUGCAGCGACGCCGCGUGAACGAAGAAGGUCUUCGGAUUGUAAAGUUCUGUCCUGGGUGAAGAUAAUGACGGUAACUCAGGAGGAAGCCCCGGCUAACUACGUGCCAGCAGCCGCGGUAAUACGUAGGGGGCGAGCGUUGUUCGGAAUUAUUGGGCGUAAAGGGUACGUAGGCGGUUUGUUAAGUUUGGCGUUAAAUCACGGGGCUCAACCCCGUUCAGCGUUGAAAACUGGCAAACUUGAGUAGUAGAAGGGACAGUGGAAUUCCUAGUGUAGCGGUGAAAUGCGUAGAGAUUAGGAAGAAUACCGGUGGCGAAGGCGACUGUCUGGAUACAUACUGACGCUCAGGUACGAAAGCGUGGGGAGCAAACAGG
rnacentral:rRNA from 1 species